rnacentral:lncRNA from 1 species
AUGAUUCUGAUUUAGAACAUGAAUGAAUUUUAGAGAUAGAGAAAAUAAUUUAGAAAAUCAUAACCCAUUGAAUUGAUUUUCAUUCUCGUCAAUGUCGAUACCCAUUUAACUUUCUUUUCAUUAUACCACAAGGCUAAAACUCUUCUUAAAACAUUCAAUACAUCAAUAUUCUUCUUCUUCAAUCUGAGCUUAUUCUUCUUCUUUCUUCAAACAUUCAAUACAAUAGUAACUAGAAACAACAGAGUAUCAAAUCCAAAUUAUGAACAAACCAAGACAAGAACAGAGGUGCAGGGCGGCGCUGAAGGGAUGGGCGAAGACUAUAGGAAUGGUGGUGGUUGCAUGACGGCGGCGUGGCGCAACGGAGAACGACCCUUUCGUGGAAGGGAGAUUAGUUUUGAAGAGAAAAUUGAUGGACAGAUUCGCACAGAUGACCUUUCUUCUCCUUUCGGCGUUGGUUUUGCUCUGUUCUCCUCCGUAACUGCUCAGAUUCGCACCUCUCUCCUCCGAUUGUUCUCCAAUUUCGUUCGAUUCUCCAGAUCUUGAAGCUUACCUUUCUAGCUUUUCACUGCGCAGGUUUUAUCAGUUUCUUCUCUUUGUUUGUUCAGCGUGGUUUCUCUUCUUGCAUUGAAGGUUUUAUGGCGUUGCUUUGUAGUCCUGCUCCGUUCGUGAGGUUCGUUCCGGUUCGGUCUUGUUGUUGUAAAAAUGAAGGAGGAUGAGAAGACAAAAGGUUUUUUUUAUGCUUUGUUUGGAGGUUUUUUUUAAGGUUGUUGUUGUUGGGGUUCUGUGUUGUUUGGAAAAUGAAGGAGAUCUAAAACAUCGGUUCUAAUAAAAUAGAAGUGGAUCUCAUGUGGUGAAAUGGGUUGUGAAGAACAAGAUUCAAGAAGACGAUUUUUUAGUUUAUUACAAUCAUGUUUUUUUAUUGUGUUUCUUUGGACUUAUUUUGGAAGAAAAAAAUUCUGGAAAAAUGUUGAUAUAGAUUGAGGAAGAAGAAGAGAGAAGAUGAUGAAAAAUAAAAAAAUUAGGUGCUGACGGUUCACUAUAGAUACAAUGGACAUGCAAUCAAACGGUUAAAAUCAAAUCAAAAAAUAUAGACAUUAACAAACUAACGGAGUGGAUCAAUUUGACUAACGGAGCAAAAGUUAAGGGACCAAAAUGAUGAUUUUAAGAGUUAUGGGACCAAAACGAAAACUCGAAAUUAAUUGAG